CUGGGAAAGACAAUGAUGCCUUCUUUCCAAGCACAUAUCUGAAGUGUAUGUGUGGACAACAUUGAACUGAGUCUUUCCUGG
ensembl:snoRNA